rnacentral:rRNA from 1 species
GUCCACGCCCUAAACGAUGGAUACUAGGUAGAGGUCCCUGCAAGGGGAUCUUUGCCGUAGCGAAAGCGUUAAGUAUCCCGCCUGGGGAGUAUGGUCGCAAGGCUGAAACUCAAAGGAAUUGACGGGGGCUCACACAAGCGGUGGAGCAUGUUGCUUAAUUCGAUGCAACGCGAAGAACCUUACCCGGGCUCGAAGCGUACGGAUUAGCUCUAUGAAAGUAGAGUGACACCUUAACCGGUGGAACGUGCGUAGGUGUUGCAUGGCUGUCGU